rnacentral:rRNA from 1 species
AGACACGCUGGCGGCGUGCCUAACACAUGCAAGUCGAACGAGAUCCAUGGGAGCUUGCUCCCGGAAGAUCUAGUGGCGAACGGGUGAGUAACACGUGAGAAACCUGCCCUGGAGUGGGGAAUAACUCGGGGAAACUCGAGCUAAUACCGCAUACCCUCGGAUGGUCGCAUGGCCGACCGAGGAAAGAUUUAUCGCUCUAGGAGGGUCUCGCGGCCUAUCAGCUAGUUGGUGGGGUAACGGCCUACCAAGGCAACGACGGGUAGCUGGUUUGAGAGAACGAUCAGCCACACUGGGACUGAGACACGGCCCAGACUCCUACGGGAGGCAGCAGUGGGGAAUCUUGCGCAAUGGGCGAAAGCCUGACGCAGCAACGCCGCGUGCGGGAUGACGGCCUUCGUGGUUGUAAACCGCUUUCAGCAGGGACGAAAAUGACGGUACCUGCAGAAGAAGCCCCGGCUAACUACGUG